UACGGAGGGGGCUAGCGUUGUUCGGAUUUACUGGGCGUAAAGGGCGCGCAGGCGGCUUUGUUUGUCAGGCGUGAAAGCCCCGGGCUUAACCUGGGAGCUGCGUUUGAUACGGCAGGGCUAGAGUUCGGGAGAGGAGAGUGGAAUUCCCAGUGUAGAGGUGAAAUUCGUAGAUAUUGGGAAGAACACCGGUGGCGAAGGCGGCUCUCUGGACCGAUACUGACGCUGAGGCGCGAAAGCGUGGGGAGCAAACAGG
rnacentral:rRNA from 1 species